rnacentral:lncRNA from 1 species
UAUGAAGCCAAACCUUUAAAGUAAUAACUUUUAAUGACGAACAAAAGCACUGCCUGUUGUGUCUCUUCAAAGACAGCUGUGUGAGGAGCAGCACUCUCCUCUCAUGUUCAAAUCAAUGGAACUCGGAUAAAAAUAAAUGCAAUUCUUUAUUAGCAUUUGUCUUCAUUGUUGUUCAAAAUGUUGGAAUUGCUUAAUGUGUUUUUCUUCCUCAUGUAGGGUAGCAGCCAAGCAUCAGUGAAGAAGUGCAUUCAUCUAGGGGAGAUAAUGCUUGUUGUAGCAGCUGGUCCAUUUCUAUCUUCUCUGACCAAAAGCAUCCCCACCCUUUAUGAGCAGAAACAUUUUACCUCAGGGCCCUCUCCUCCUUUACAAAGGACCAAAACAGGAACAUUUUCUUCAAAACCAGUCUCACCUGGCCUGGAGGGAAGGUGAAAAGAGGUAGAGAAGGGCACCUGGGGGUGGGUGGGGCUGGCAUCACCACCUCUGUACUUGGCACAGCUGAGGCACCUCAAAUACUGCACUCAGUUUUGGGUCCUUCACUUGAAAGAGGCCAUUGAGGUCCUGGAGUGUAUCGCCAUUUGGAUUUUUUGCAGUCAGCCGCCCGCUCAGGGCCACAGGCCCCUGAGCACAAACAAUGCCAUUUUUCCCUGGGAAAGAAAACUCACCAGCCCAGGUUCCUGAUGUCAGUUUGUAGGGUUCCCUUGGGACUGUCAGGGCAGCACAAGUUUGAGGUGGGGGCAGCCUGGGUCUGGGACACAUCCUUCUCCAGUGAAGGGACUUCUAAAACUUGAGUAAGUUUUUGAAAGCAUAGAAUCAUACCAUUGUUAGGGCUGGAAGGAACCUCUAAAGGCCAUCCAGUCCAAACCCCUGUAGUAAGAAGGGACCUCUUCACCAUACCAAAUUGCUCAGAGCCUGUCCAGCCUGGCCUCGAAUGUUUCCAGAGAUGGAGCAUCCACCACUUCUCCAGUGGUGUGUACCAGUGCUGGUGAUUCUGUGAGCAGGGAGGGGAGAGCCUCCUCCCUGUGUGUGACACUCAUUCCUUAGCAACCCCUUCUUUCAACUGACCCUUGCUCCUUCUCUGAUGCCCAUUCCCUAGAGACCUGCAAGAGACCCGCAUUCCUCCAUUGAUACCCAUUCCCCAGUGACCCGAGUUCCUGGUUAAUCCAUGCCCAUUGACACCUGUUCCUCACUGACCCCGCUAGUCCAUUGACCCUAUUCCCAAGCUACCACCGCUCCCCAUUGAUCCCCAUUCCCCACUGAUUCCCUCUCCCGCAUUGCUGUCGUUCCCUGCUGACUGCUGCUCCCCCUUUUCC